rnacentral:RNase_P_RNA from 1 species
CACGCAGACCGCCUUAUCGUCGUUCCGAGCAAUCGGGAGGGAGGAAAGUCCGGACACCAAAGAGUAGCAUAACGGGUAACGCCCGUCUCCCGAUUGCUAUCGGGAAGGACAAGUGCAACAGAAAGCAGGUACAGGUCAUGCUGUAGUGAAACCAGGUAAACUCUAUGCGGUGAAAUGUCAAGUAUAUCAACAAUUCUAAUUUCGGUUAGAUAAGGGCUACUCGUCCGAUGUUGAAGGGUAGGCAGCUUGAGUUAUUCAGUAAUGAAUAAUCUAGAUAAAUGAUAAGGGUCUCGUCGCACAAAGAUGGGAUACAGAAUCCGGCUUAUAGGUCUGCUUUUUUU